CCAGUACUUUUGGACACUUUAAGUGGCUCCAUCUGGACCAAAUGAGUUCAAACUUUAGAAUCAGAGGUUUGUUAUUGGCGAAUUGAAAAAAUUACAUUUUGGUUGAUUUAAGGUAUGAACUUCAUCAUGUUUUUAGGUGAAGAGGGUGUUCUUUAUCUCUGUAUUUCCGUACAGACCACCUAAGUAAAGCGAAAGAAAUUAAAUUUUAAAUUACAUGGUGUAAGUAUCUAGGAUAUACAUUUUGGUGGUUUCAACUUUUAACCUUAACUCAGGCGCGUCCUGAGCCGUGUGAUGUUCUUUUUUAUUAUACAUAAAAUAUCCAUAAUUCUUAAGUAGAAAUAAGUACAAAUGCAACUGGUUCCAAAUGCCAUAAAGAUGAUUCCGGAUCUUGGAAAUACUUUGAUUGAAACAAGAAUAAACACUUCUCAUUUAUAAACUUCAAUAAAUAUUUUCUCAAGGGUAGGAUAGAACUAUGAAAAAAUAAGCGUGAACAAUCAAUUUUCAAA